GUUCCCCAAGUAGGUACUUAUAGACUGUAAUCAAGUCACCCCCUAACCUUCUUGUUGUUAACCUAAAUACGUUGAGCCCCUUGAGUCUCUAAAAGUCAGGUUUUCU